UAAAACUCUUUCGCCAGAGAUGAUAAUGACAGUAUCUGGUAAAGAAACCCCGGCUAACUCCGUGCCAGCAGCCGCGGUAAUACGGAGGGGGUUAGCGUUGUUCGGAAUUACUGGGCGUAAAGCGCACGUAGGCGGACUGGAAAGUUGGGGGUGAAAUCCCGGGGCUCAACCUCGGAACUGCCUCCAAAGCUAUCAGUCUAGAGUUCGAGAGAGGUGAGUGGAAUUCCAAGUGUAGAGGUGAAAUUCGUAGAUAUUUGGAGGAACACCAGUGGCGAAGGCGGCUCACUGGCUCGAUACUGACGCUGAGGUGCGAAAGUGUGGGGAGCAAACAGGAUUAGAUACCCUGGUAGUCCACACCGUAAACGAUGAAUGCCAGUCGUCGGCAAGUAUACUUGUCGGUGACACCCCUAACGGAUUAAGCAUUCCGCCUGGGGAGUACGGUCGCAAGAUUAAAACUCAAAGGAAUUGACGGGGGCCCGCACAAGCGGUGGAGCAUGUGGUUUAAUUCGAAGC
rnacentral:rRNA from 1 species